ACGGAGACGUAAUUCCUCAAAUAUAGUGGCGGAGCUAGGUCGUGCUCUAAGCGUAGUAACCAAAUUCUCGCUUCUGAAGCCGGCCCGGGUCSUGCCGUAAAACCCCCUAUAUUUUUCUGGUUGACCUCGGAUCAGGUAGGAAUACCCGCUGAACUUAAGCAUAUCAAUAAGCGGAGGAAAAGAAACCAACAGGGAUUGCCCUAGUAACGGCGAGUGAAGCGGCAACAGCUCAAAUUUGAAAUCUGGCCUUCGGGUCCGAGUUGUAAUUUGCAGAGGAUGCUUUUGGCGCGGUGCCUUCCGAGUUCCCUGGAACGGGACGCCUUAGAGGGUGAGAGCCCCGUACGGUUGGACACCAAGCCUCUGUAAAGCUCCUUCGACGAGUCGAGUAGUUUGGGAAUGCUGCUCUAAAUGGGAGGUAAAUUUCUUCUAAAGCUAAAUACCGGCCAGAGACCGAUAGCGCACAAGUAGAGUGAUCGAAAGAUGAAAAGCACUUUGAAAAGAGGGUUAAAUAGCACGUGAAAUUGUUGAAAGGGAAGCGUUUACGGCCAGACCUUUUCCUGGCGGAUCAUCUGGUGUUCUCACCAGUGCACUUCGCCAGGUUUAGGCCAGCAUCGGCUUCUGUAGGGGGAUAAAAGCAGUGGGAAAGUAGCUCCCUCGGGAGUGUUAUAGCCCUAAGCAUAAUACCC
rnacentral:rRNA from 1 species